UAUGAUAUGACUGAGUGGCGGACGGGUGAGUAACGCGUGAGUAACCUGCCCUUCAGAGGGGGAUAGCGUUUGGAAACGAACGGUAAUACCGCAUAAUGUAUUUUGACCGCAUGAUCGAAAUACCAAAGAUUUAUCGCUGAAGGAUGGACUCGCGUCUGAUUAGGUAGUUGGUGGGGUAACGGCCUACCAAGCCGACGAUCAGUAGCCGGACUGAGAGGUUGAUCGGCCACAUUGGGACUGAGACACGGCCCAGACUCCUACGGGAGGCAGCAGUGGGGAAUAUUGCACAAUGGGCGCAAGCCUGAUGCAGCAACGCCGCGUGAAGGAAGACGGUUUUCGGAUUGUAAACUUCUGUUCUUAGUGAAGAAUAAUGGCGGUAGCUAAGGAGCAAGCCACGGCUAACUACGUGCCAGCAGCCGCGGUAAUACGUAGGUGGCAAGCGUUGUCCGGAAUUACUGGGUGUAAAGGGAGCGCAGGCGGGUGAUCAAGUCAGCUGUGAAAACUACGGGCUUAACCCGUAGACUGCAGUUGAAACUGUUCAUCUUGAGUGAAGUAGAGGUUGGCGGAAUUCCGAGUGUAGCGGUGAAAUGCGUAGAUAUUCGGAGGAACACCGGUGGCGAAGGCGGCCAACUGGGCUU
rnacentral:rRNA from 1 species